UUGAUCGGUCAAACCCACGCGCACGUCUCGUCCUCUUCCCUCCCUCUCCCUAAAGAGUGCCCCUCGCACGACCUCCUCCUUGGAUGCCCGAGGUCAUGGUGCCACCCCACGAACGCCUUGCCAGCCAGCAACACCUUCACCGAUCCUUCUCUCAGCUUGCCGCCUGGCUCCCUUGCGCCGCUGCCGCCCCAAGCUCUCCACUGGCGCCGCGACCUCCCACAGGCCGCCUUCAGAUCUAGGCCGCCUCAACUACUCCCCUGCAUCAUUCAAGGUCAGCUGGAGGUCGUGGCACCAUCCAUCUGCCUGCGUAAGUGCCUCCUCGCCCUGGUGGUGCGACUGUUGGCGUCGAAGGACAGUUGCCGGACCGCAUCCCCUCACGACUCCACCCGGCUGAUCCGGCGGUGGCGACCGGCAUCUUCCACUUGGCGUGACGUGGUAUGGACUUGAAUCCCGGACGAGCUCCUCUAGAUAAGAUGGCCAGGAAGUUCGCAAAAUCCAGCGACCGUAGAACACAGCCAGUUGCAUACAUCUGUGAAGAACCUGCUUGGAUGGAUAUGGCCUGGGUGCCUAGGUGUACUUCACCUAACUCCAUCCACACGUCGUAUUCCAAAUCUGAGGAACUCAGGUACCCAAUUUUCCUUCAUGCCAUGAAUGUUAAAUGCCUAUAAUGCUUUGGGAGCUGGGCGGAUAUGUGUUUCAUGAUUUGUUUCUUUUUUCUGAAAGGCAGACCUUGUAAGUUAUUCUGUCUUUCAACCUGUGCGUAGCAUUUUGAUGUAAGUGGUCUGGUUCUCUCAAUCUAUGUAUAGUGCGUUGUGUUUGUACUUCAGGCUGGCAGAGUACAGAUCACUUCCAUAGUCCAAAUUACUCUGGCAUCAAUCGAAUCAUGGACACAAGAUUUCAUUACCCCUGUAAUAAUCUCUUAGGUGACUUUCGGACAAGUACACGCCCAGAAUUUUGGGAUUAAUAACACCGGUGAGUUAAUAUGAUAGUAUUGACAUUUUUGGUACCUGUCUAAGUUUGUGCAAGAUUAGUAUGCUUUUAGAAAUAUAUGAUAUCGCAUACAAAAUUGUUUACUCUUGUUCAGGGAAUCAGGGAUCAUAUUUAAGAUCGAACUAUGCUUUGCUCAGGUCUCUUGAUAUUUUCUAAACACAAAAAUUAAUUGCUCGGCACCGAGUACGACUGUAUAUAAUAAGGUAGGCAAGUUUCUUAUCAGUCUAUCAGUCAUUUACAAAUCUGGACAAUUUCGGCAUUCAGUUCAGUUAUGGGCAAUAGUUACCAUUUAGUUCCGUUCUGGGUUCCAUUAGUUCAAUUAUGGGCAAUAGUGGCCAUUUAGUUCAGUUCAGGUUCAGUUCUGGGUGCCAGCAAUAGUUGUUAUCUAUUUUAGUUCAAGUUUAGUUUUUGAUGCCAUUUAGUUCAGUUCAGUUAGGAGCAACAAUUGACAUUCAGUUCAAUUAACAAUUCUGCAUAUGUACUUCUGUCCAAUUCUGCAUUUGCACAAAGCGUACUGGAACACUCAUUUGGUCAUAACAUUCAAGCAAACAAAACAUUUUCCAUUACAUCUCUUUCCACACAUGUACAAGUAGUAACUGCAAUUCCUUUUCAGUCAUAAGAUCCAGUCAUAACAACAAUAUUUAGUGAUCUCAAUUUUUCAUGACAUACUAAAUUCAACUAACAUCAGUGACUUAGUUGGACGCUUUCUGCACUUUCAACAUUUUAGAAUGGUUGUUUACGAUCAGCAACUCAUUAGAUGGCGGCGGCAUAGGCGCCAUUGGCCCACUUGAACACAAACCACAAGAAGUCGACAAUCGCGUCGACGUAACCUCGUCCUCCGGUGCUACCAUUGCUUCUCCUCGUGACACCAGUGUUUUACGGUGGCGGAGCCUUGGCUGGUGGCUAUGGCCACGAGGCCUUGGAGCCGGACUUGUGCUCCUCCUCUUGGAGGACGUGGCCAGUGCGGCGGCCCUGAAGCUGGUAGUAGGACACGUCUGGCGUGCGCUAGGGCAGUGGCAUUGCAGAGGGCUAGACCAACUUUGGCUGAGACGAGCCUUGAUGGUGUGGUAAGAUGUAGCAGACCACAACCAUGGGGAUGGGCGUGCCAGACGCGUGAAUGGAAACGGCGAGUCCACGCUGAGCCCUCCUUUGGUGAGCGAACAACGACGGCGACUAUAGAGGAAUUCUAGAAAGGAGACUUUUUCUUUUCAGAGCUGGAGUGCCACUUUCCCUCUCCUUUCCAUUGGGCCAAUCCUUCUCUGUGUUUCCAUGGAAUCCACCUGCUGUUAUCGGAUGCGCAAGGAAUGGGCUAGACACAUCAAUGCCCCUCUAUAGUACUUCCUUGUACGUUGGACUAUCUUGUUCCAAUUUAUUUUAUGCUAAAUAAUGUCAAAUAAAUGCAGUAAAUGGUUGGGUGUUGAUGGGUCCUUUAUGUAUUUUUAUCCCAGCCGGUCCACAGGUGAUAAUUGUCAUGUUCUCUAUCCUAAUUCGAUGCAAGUAACAUGAGUCUUGUUUUCAAUUUCUUCCCUGCCUUGAUGCUGAUUGUCACUUAAUAUAUGUAGUUGACAGGCGCUUGGUACAACAUCUGUCCAGAAGAAUUUUUUUGCUGUGUUGGCAUGUUUGUCCCAAUUUUAUUGUAGGGAACAUAAGCACACUGAACCAAAUGUGAGCACUAUCUUAUUUUCGUAUGUAUAUUUCUAAUUGUUCUUUCGUUGUUCC